UAGGGAGACCUAAUCCAUUUAGAAAUCGACAGCAGUGAGAAUUGCCAAUAGAAACUAAAUUGGUCUAACCUAGGUCGGUCGAGAUUGGUAGAUAUCUUUCAAAGUAUUAUUUGGCUUAGUUCAAAAAUUGAAUCAAAGUCAGCACCUAACUAUAAAAGUUAGAAUGCUGGAUGAAAUUCCAGUCAGAACCUUGAAAACUGCAUAAGAGAAAGAAAAAAAGCACCGCAGACACAGACAUGAAAGUGUUUCGUGGAAGCAAAAGAAAUAGU
rnacentral:misc_RNA from 1 species